AAUCAACGCUGGCGGCGCGCUUAACACAUGCAAGUCGAGCGAGAAAGUGGAGCAAUCCAUGAGUACAGCGGCGUACGGGUGAGUAACACGUGGGUGAUCUACCUCUUAGUGGGGAAUAACCCUGGGAAACCGGGGCUAAUACCGCAUAAGCCUGAGAAGGGAAAGUGGCUUUGUGAAAGCAGAGCCGCGCUGAGAGAGGAGCCCGCGGCUGAUUAGCUAGUUGGGAGGUAACGGCCCACCAAGGCAUAGAUCGGUAGCCGGCUUGAGAGGGGCACACGGCCACACUGGCACUGAAACACGGGCCAGACUCCUACGGGAGGCAGCAGUGGGGAAUCUUGCACAAUGGGGGAAACCCUGAUGCAGCGACGCCGCGUGAGCGAUGAAGCCCUUCGGGGUGUAAAGCUCUUUCGGCAGGGAAGAUAAUGACGGUACCUGCAGAAGCAGCUGCGGCUAAC
rnacentral:rRNA from 1 species